ACAGAGCAGAAGCAGCUCUCAGAGGGAAAAGAAGAUAGUAGAGAAAGUUAUGCACCAAAGUGGAGGGCACAGUUCUGACUUGGGCCAGGCAGUGUUAAGAAGGAAUUGGAGAGGUAUCAACCCACACUGUCUCUUAUACCCUUGGUCAGGAGCAUGAGGAGAACUACUGCACAUGUGCGGGCCAACGGACAUGGCUCUGAAGAAUUUCUGGAUAGGGUGCCUGGCGCGCACUCAUACUCACAUUUAGAAUACACUUAGAGACCAUCACUCUACGAAGAAUGUACACCUAAGGGGUCAGAUGGGUCUUCAAUAUGGAAGUUGAAGUCACUACCGAUGAGUGUGAAAGACUGGGAAGAGUUAUGGAAAGCUUCCACACACUGUCAGUGCCUUGCUAGUGUGCCACGCGCCGUGAGAUAUCUCUUCUCUUUGUGUGUGACUGAGUGUUUCCCUUGUGUGUGAAUUUAUUCAACAAAAUCUUGAGCUUCAUAAUGGCUACCAUGAGUGAAAAGAAAAAGAGAAAAAUAGAAUCAGAGCACAGAGUUUUCAACACUGAAUGGACAAAUAAAUACUUAUGUACUGUUUCCAAAGACAAAAUACUGUGCCUUGUGUGUCGCGAAAUGUUAGCCGUUCUGAAAGAAUACAACCUUCGGUGGCACUUUGAAACUAAACAUCCCAAUCUCGCCAAAUUGAACCCAAAUGAAAAAAUAAUUAAAGCAGCCAAUUUAGUGAAAAACCUUAGUGGAUAACAGCAAAUUUUCAAGAAAGUGAGCACUGAGAACGAUACAGUUACUAAAGUAAGCUUUCAAAUUUCUAAGGAAAUUGCUGCUGCUGGGAAAUGCUUCACAGAAGGCGAGUUUUUUAAAAAGUGUAUGUUGAUUGCUGUAUCUGAGUUAUGUCCAGAAAAGAGGGGAAUAUUUGAGAAUGUCAGUCUAUCACGCAUGACUGUACAGAGAAGAAUAGCUGACAUUUCUACUAAUCUAAGUGAUCAGUUAAAGCAGAGAGUCAGUGAAUUCUGCUUUUACUCCCUAGCUAUGGAUGAAAGCACCGAUUUAAAAGACACCGCCCAACUUCUUAUUUUUAUUAGAGGUAUUGAUAAAAACUUUGAAAUUACUGAAGAACUUGUUGGCAUGUCGCACAACUGGAAAAGAAAUCUCCAGUGAAGUGAUAAAGUGCAUGAAUGAUAAGUUGGGAGUAGAUUUCACAAACUUGGUGGCCAUUUGUACUGAUGGUGCUCCAGCUAUGUGUGGAAAAAAUGUUGGAGCAGUUACUCUUCUUGAAGGAUUUAUCGGGAGACAAAUAACCAAACAUCACUGCAUUAUACAUCAGCAGGUUUUGUGUAGCAAAGUCUUAAAAUUUGAGCAUGUAAUGUCAGUGGUAGUUUCCAUUGUAAACCUCAUCCGUUCUAGAGGACUAAAACAUAGGACAUUUCGAGCCUUUCUUGAAGGGGAAGACGCCGAGUGCAGCGACUUAAUCUACCAUACGGAAGCGAGGUGGUUGAGUCGAGGAAGAGUGCUCCAGCGUUUCGUUGCUUUGAAAGAGGAGAUAGCAAAAUUCCUAGAAAAUGGGCCAAUAAAAUUCCCGGAGCUUGAAAAUGAGUCCUGGAAUCAAGAUCUCUUUUUCUUUUGUGACAUUACAGCACACCUGAAUGAUCUCAACAUUCAACUUCAGGGGAAAAAAUCAACUUAUAUUUCAAAUGUGUGCAGCAGUGAAAGCUUUCGAAAUGAAAUUGAAACUUUUCAGAAGUCAGCUGUCAAAAGGUGAAAUGUGUCACUUUCCCACUUGUGCACAGCGUAUCCCUCAGCACAAACACGCCGAGUUAGGAGAAAAAUACGCAAAGCACAUCAUUCUUUUGAUUGAAGAAUUUGACAGAAGACUUACUUUGUCUAAAGAUGAAGCUGAUUGAAGAUUCCCUUUUCUGUGGAUCCAGAGGAAGUGCUACAAGAUUUGCAGUUGGAGGUUACUGAACUUCAAUGUUCGGCAGUUUACCGAAAUAAGCACAGAGAAAGCAGCCUGUGGGACUUCUCUGUUCUUCUCUGACUGACGACCAUUUGGAGACAUUAUGAAAAUAUCCACUUCAAAUAUGACCCCCGAAUACGACAAGCUUGUUGCCGAAAAGAGAUGUAAUAUCUCUCAUUAAAUUUGCAAGAUAAUUA